GUGUGUGUGUGUGUGUAGUCAUAUGCAUCGAGCAACCACCAGUUACAUUAACACCAUAUUUGUUAUAAGCAAUGGCGAGGCCUAUUUUUCUGGUACCGUUGAUCCUGGCUAUGCUAUUGUCUCCUACAAUUCCAUGUGAUGCAGCUAUAGUAACCCAUCAAGCUCUCACAAAAGACCCUAUUAGAUUUUGUCCAGCUUGUGCAUGUUGCGGACCUCGGCCACAGGGGGGUGGUUGUUGCCCAUGUAGAUGCACUGCUGAAACUGCGACUACAAACGGGUCUCCGUAAGACUUGCUCUUGCAGAAUGAUAAUAGUAAUAAGAGUACUACAUGGCUCAGAUAUAAUAUCAUUAAUAAGAGUAUAUAGAUAUUGGAUACUUGUUUGGUAACCAAUAAAUAUGCUACUAAUUGUGUAAUAUCACAUAUAAACUAGUUUGUUAUGAAGAGAUCCAUGUGUUAUAUUCUUU